rnacentral:rRNA from 1 species
UACGGGGGGAGCAAGCGUUGUUCGGAUUUACUGGGCGUAAAGGGCGCGUAGGCGGCCUCCGCAAGUCAGUUGUGAAAUCUCCGAGCUUAACUCGGAAAGGUCAACUGAUACUGCGGGGCUAGAGUGCGGAAGGGGCAACUGGAAUUCUUGGUGUAGCGGUGAAAUGCGUAGAUAUCAAGAGGAACACCUGCGGCGAAGGCGGGUUGCUGGGCUGACACUGACGCUGAGGCGCGAAAGCUAGGGGAGCGAACGGG